rnacentral:rRNA from 1 species
ACCGGCGGUGAUUACGGCGAGGCCACACCUGUUCCCAUCCCGAACACAGAAGUUAAGCUCGUUUGUGCCGAAAAUACUUGGCUGGAGACGGCCCGGGAAGAUAGGUUGCUGCCGGUU